CAGCAGCCGCGGGAAUACGAAGGGGGCUAGCGUUACUCGGAAUUACUGGGCGUAAAGGGCGCGUAGGCGGCGCUCCAAGUUAGGCGUGAAGGUCCUGGGCUCAACCUGGGAACUGCGCUUAAGACUGGAGUGCUUGAGGAUGGAAGAGGGUUGUGGAAUUCCCAGUGUAGAGGUGAAAUUCGUAGAUAUUGGGAAGAACACCGGUGGCGAAGGCGGCAACCUGGUCCAUUACUGACGCUGAGGCGCGACAGCGUGGGGAGCAAACAGGAUUAGAUACCCCCGUAGUCCCUGUCUCUUAUAC
rnacentral:rRNA from 1 species